rnacentral:lncRNA from 1 species
CGUUUGUGUCCGCUGAAAGCCUCCACCUGCACUCUGUGUCACUUUCAUUUGAGAUGUUGUCAUUCUUUGUCAGACUUCUCUGAAUUUUAGGAAAAGGGCAGAAAAGGAGAAAGAAAAAGAGGGGAAAAAAGAAAGAAAGAAGGAAAAAGGGAAGACAACUGCUGGCAGUCAUACUGAAGUGUGUCCUGGCUCCCCAGUAUGUAAUGAUGGUCUUAGAGCUGAGGAAAGGAGAGAAUCAUGAAAAAUGCCUCGAGUAUGAGUGGGAUUCCAAGCAAAACUAGAAAAACAACCUACCCUUUUUGUGUUUUAUAGUACUUUACUAUAUCAUCCUAAAGCUAGGUUUUUGUGUCAGCGCUCAGCAGAUUUCAGUGGGACUUUAAAGAAGCAAUUGCUAGCACACCCAGACAUAAUACAGAUGUUCCAGUGAUGACAUAUCAGCAGAAAGAGUGCCUCCUCCCUCUUCCUUAUUCCUUAUCUAAUCUUGUU